rnacentral:tRNA from 1 species
AAUAUGUGCUUUAAAAUAGCGGCUUAAUUUCGACUUAAGUAUUGGAAAAUAUGGUGAAUUAUCACGUUAUUA